rnacentral:rRNA from 1 species
UACGAAGGGGGCUAGCGUUGUUCGGAAUUACUGGGCGUAAAGCGCGCGUAGGCGGUUUUGCAAGCCAGAGGUGAAAUGCCUGAGCUCAACUCGGGAAUGGCCUUUGGGACUGCGAGGCUUUGAGGACUGGAGAGGUGAGUGGAAUUCCCAGUGUAGAGGUGAAAUUCGUAGAUAUUGGGAAGAACACCGGUGACGAAGGCGGCUCACUGGCCAGUUUCUGACGCUGCAGCGCGAAAGCGUGGGGAUCAAACAGG